CCUAAUCUUGCUUAUCUAUAAUGCUUAGCCCCUUUAUAGACAUCUUCCUGAUGUCAAGCGUGACAAGAAAGUAAUUAAAAUGGAGAACUUCCCAUAUAUGUUUUAGAAAUGAAUUGGGAAGCCCUUGAAUCACUGGUCUUGCAUGAUCUAGCGCUUUACCACUCCCUGCUUUAAGGGGAGACUCUCUGUUUGGAAGUCUGAUCAGGUUGCAAUCUACAAAAUCACAGCUCUGGAAAGAACUCCCUAUUCGAUAUGCAUCCAUAGAGACAUGAGUAUAUUAUUCCUUCCAAAGUCAGCUGCAAUUGAAGCUCACUAAAUUGACUCCACAUCUUCCUAUCUCAGGCAGUGACAGAGGAAUAGCAAGUAUUUUUUACUAAAAUGCUCUUUUUUAACCAACCCCUUUUUUGAAGAUUUCUCUAUCAUUGAUGCAGAGGACAUGAUCUUUACUUCAUAGAAGAUGGCAGAACACCAGCAAAUCAGUGUUUGAGUCCAGGGGCUGCUGUCAGUGCAUCAAAUGCUUAUCCAGCAACUGUGUCUUUUGCCAGCAAUGUCAUGCAGAGUUGAGGACAGAAUUUAUUGUAAAUGUUGAAACCUUCUUGGCAAAAUAAUAUAAACCAGCAUCUGCAGCUCGAUGGACCUUUCAAGCCCUCCCAAGCCUUAAGCAGCAGCAUCUAUGGAUAUGGGAGCGGUCUCCAUACUGUGGCCCUCAUCAGCCCCUCCAAGCACUCCCAAUGAAAAGAUUCUCCUUAAAAUGCGCCAUUUCAUUCUGGGAGAGAGGAACUGUGGGAGAAAGCACACAGAAUGAUAUUCCCACUGACCUCUUCCAGGCGGGAUUGUCUCGGUCUCGAAUCUCCAGGAGAGACAGUUCUGCCUAUUGAUAAAUAGGCAUUCUCAGGCAGUUUUUGAGAAAAAAAACACUUUCACAGAUGAUCUUGUAAUUUUUUUGGAGAAAAGUUGCCCAAGAACACAUAACCAAAAAUAUAUAAAAAUGUUACAGAGGUUAAUGAUCCAGUCAGUGAGAUUUUGUGGUAUUUCUGAUUUGUAAUUUUUUGUCAGUUCACUACCCCUAUCCCAAAGAGAACACUAAGUUAAAAAGAAAAACUCAUCAAAAGCCCUUCAAAGAUUUAGGUGAGACCAUUUCAGCAGUUGUUUAGUGUGAUGGGGAAAAAAUGUCCUAUAGACAAAAAAGAAUUUUCAAAUAUAUGAGAUAUGACCUCAUUUUUUGAUCAAAGCAUGAUGAUGGAUACCUGACUUUCAAAGCCAAAAACUUACUUUUGUAAUAUUGCCCCAAAUUUUAAUUUAUGUAUAUUUAAUAAUAAACUCUGGGCUUCCCUGGUGGCUCAGCUGGUAAAGAAUCUGCCUGCAAUACAGGAGACCCCGAUUCAAUCCCUGGGUUGGGAAGAUUCCCGGGAGAAGGGCAUGGCAACCCACUCCAGUAUUCUUGCCUGCAGAAUUCUAUGGACAGAGUAGCCUGGCGGGCUACAGUCCAUGGAGUCACAAGGAGUUGGACAUGACUGAGUGACUAAGCACAGCGCAAUAAUCAACUCAUUUAGUUGUUUUGUGUUGCUUUAGUUGCUUUAUUUAGGUGACAGUGUUUUAGAGAACACAACAGAAGAUAGCAUUGCUCAAAACAAUACAUUCCGAAUACUUUAUUGAGUUGGUGUUAUGCAUACAGUUGAGUAUUUGAGUAUACUUACAGUAAAGAUUUCCAUGCUAAAAUUGUUGUAGUCAAAGUCUAGAAGAAGAACUUUGGGGCUUUAGUUGUCCAUGAAUUAAGAUAGAUAUAAAUUAUUUUCUAAAAAGAAUUUUCAUUCUGCUCAUUGGUAAUGCCUUGACUUCUGGUAAUCCUCUGCAUGGAAAUAGACCAGCUUUAUGUUCAUUUU
rnacentral:lncRNA from 1 species